rnacentral:rRNA from 1 species
AGAGUUUGAUCCUGGCUCAGGACGAACGCUGGCGGCGUGCCUAACACAUGCAAGUCGAACGGGGUCCAACCAGUAGCAAUACUGGGGAAGACCUAGUGGCGAACGGGUGAGUAACACGUGAGGAACCUGCCCCGAAGACCGGGACAAGCCGGGGAAACCUGGUCUAAUACCGGAUGUCUUCACCAGAUCGCAUGAUCCGGUGAAGAAAUGGAUUCCGCUUCGGGAGGGCCUCGCGGCCUAUCAGCUUGUUGGUGGGGUAAUGGCCCACCAAGGCUUCGACGGGUAGCUGGUCUGAGAGGACGAUCAGCCACACUGGGACUGAGACACGGCCCAGACUCCUACGGGAGGCAGCAGUGGGGAAUCUUGCGCAAUGGGCGAAAGCCUGACGCAGCAACGCCGCGUGGGGGAUGAAGGCUCUCGGGUUGUAAACCCCUUUCAGCAGGGACGAUUAUGACGGUACCUGCAGAAGAAGGCCCGGCCAACUACGUGCCAGCCGCCGCGGUAAUAC